AACGAACGCUGGCGGCGUGGAUAAGACAUGCAAGUCGAACGGGAGUUUGUUUAUAGCAAUAUGAGUGAACUCUAGUGGCGAAAGGGUGCGUAACACGUGGCUACCUACCUCGAAGUUGGGGAUAGCUCGGCGAAAGCCGGAUUAAUACCGAAUGUGAUCGUGAGAUCAAAGCUGGGGAUCGUAAGACCUGGCGCUUUGAGAUGGGGCUGCGGCCUAUCAGGUAGUUGGCGGGGUAAUGGCCCACCAAGCCUAAGACGGGUAGCUGGUCUGAGAGGACGACCAGCCACACUGGAACUGAGACACGGUCCAGACACCUACGGGUGGCAGCAGUCGAGGUAUUUUCUCAAUGGGGGAACCCUAAAAGGAGGAGCGACGCCGCGUGAGGGAUGAAGGUC
rnacentral:rRNA from 1 species